GCGAACGCUGGCGGCAGGCUUAACACAUGCAAGUCGAGCGCGUGUAGCAAUACACGAGCGGCAGACGGGUGAGUAACGCGUGGGAACGUACCUUCUGGUUCGGAAUAACUCAGGGAAACUUGAGCUAAUACCGGAUAAGCCCUUCGGGGGAAAGAUUUAUCGCCGGAAGAUCGGCCCGCGUAAGAUUAGCUUGUUGGUGAGGUAACGGCUCACCAAGGCUACGAUCUUUAGCUGGUCUGAGAGGAUGAUCAGCCACAUUGGGACUGAGACACGGCCCAAACUCCUACGGGAGGCAGCAGUGGGGAAUAUUGGACAAUGGGCGCAAGCCUGAUCCAGCCAUGCCGCGUGAGUGAUGAAGGCCUUAGGGUUGUAAAGCUCUUUUAGCAGGGACGAUAAUGACGGUACCUGCAGAAAAAGCCCCGGCCAACUUCGU
rnacentral:rRNA from 1 species